GCCAUCACGGCUCGCUCCUCGGUCCUCCCACUGAAUGAAGCACCGACCCCUCGGGCACGGGGGAGCCAGCGAGCCCCCAGAAGAAAAAAAAACGCAUUCCGCUUCCACACAAUCGGCUGCGGGGCGGGGAGGCGGAGGCGCCGCCAGCCGCCGUGACUGGAGGGAGGCGGCGGCUACGGAGGGUCUCGAGGUCCGGAGGGGGGAGCUAGUGCUGCGGUGCUAAAACAGGAGCGGCGGGCUCGCGCUGUUCUGUCCCUCGAUGGCGGCCAGCGGCGAGAGCGGAGGGGAUCCGGCGGCGGCGCGCCGGCGGUGGGAUCUCACCAAUAAGGGGCCCGACAGCACUCCAAUUGUGAAAGGGACUCUGGAAAUUUCUACAGACGAAGAAUCAGAUGGUGUUGUUUUAUGCCAUCCAAAUGGUAAAAGUAAUACUGAUGGAUGUGAUGAAGCCACUAGUGGCAAUCACGAUGAUGAUAUCCCGGAAGACCAAGUAACUAGUUCUGUUAAGGACUCUGACGUGGAAGGUGACACACAGGAAGACAAGUGUGUAAAUCAAGAUUCACUGAAGUUGAUUGAUCAAGAGAAGUCUGCUCCCCCCAAGUCCCCAGUGAAGUCUGCAAGUUCUGGAUCGGAGAGGCCUAAACGUGUUGUUCCCCAACCAUUCUCCCUUUCUUCUCAAAGAAGGUCUUCUGGAGGAAAUGGUGUUGUGAUCAGUCCACCCAUCAAUAAGGAAAAAUCUGGUGACAAAAAUAGCAUCUCUCCAGCAAGCAUGACAAAGAAGAGUACGCCAAUGGCACCUAGGAAGACUUUGCAGCCUGAGCAGGCAUUUCACCCUCAGGAAGAAGACGCGUGUUCUGUGACUUCUUCAACUACAACGUCAACAAGAGCUGGUAGAACUAAGACAACUGUCCCUGUUCCCCCUUCAUUUGUGUGUGCUAACCGAGCUGACAAGAGGAGGGAGUUCUACACAAAACUAGAGGAGAAACACAAGGCUUUGGAAGCAGAGAAGGAUGAGGCUGAGGCUAGGAAAAAGGAAGAGCAAGAAGCUGCGUUAAAGCAACUAAGGAAGUCAUUGGUCAUUAGAGCAAAACCCAUGCCAAGCUUCUAUCAAGAAGGCCCCCCACCAAAGGCUGAACUUAAGAAGGUGCCUCCUACUCGUGCCAAAUCACCAAAGUUUACAAGUUCAAGGAGAAAGAGUUGCAGUGAUACAGCACAGACACCAGAGGGUAAAAACACUAUAGCAUCAUCUGCGCGGUCACAUCGUCACAGUAUCGGAAGUUCUAAGGACGCUAAUAGAGUACAAUGCUCACCGAAGAAUGGUGUGGCAACUAAAACCAGAGCUGUCAAACCUGAGCUGAAGGCCCUUUGAAGAGCGUGGAGCAGCCAAGCGAUGCGAUUGUCUCUGUAGAAACCUAAUUACCUAACUCUUAGCCAUUUCCAUUUUCCAUGACAUUUUGCUCUUAUUUUACACCCUAAAUCGCCACCAAAAGAAGGCUGUAUGGCCAAGUGCAUGCGCUGCUGGACCUUAUCCAUUCUCUUUCAUUCGCCUUGUACUUGUAAGAACUCUGUUGCUGGGACCAUGUGAUGUUCCAUGUUGUAAAUUACUCGAGGGUCUUUGUAAGGAGUCUCACUCGAUAUAUUGGUCCUUGAAGCCCUUGAACUAGUCUAGUAAUUUGUGGGCUGAAA